rnacentral:tRNA from 1 species
GCGGAUGUAGCUCAGUCGGUUAGAGCGUUAGAUUGUGGCUCUAGAGGUCGUCGGUUCGAUUCCGAUCAUUCGCCCCA